rfam:Cricetulus griseus cell line CHO-K1, whole genome shotgun sequence.
AGAUGUGAGGGUGACCCGGCUGAGACAUCCGCCGUUCCGUUCAUCACAAGAGCUAAUUCUGCUGUUCCACCCUGCCAGGCCAGUGUCCAACUUCCUCCUUCUCCACCCCUUAUACAUCCCUCCUGAAGAUGCACUGGCCCUUGAAGAGGACAACCCUCUCUAUCAGAAGACUGCCCUUUGGUCAAGGGUAUACACGUGGCUGUCCUCCUCUGCUUGACCCUUCAAACAAGCUCUUGUUUGUUUGACACUGGGUCUCUCUGUGUAGCCCUUAAUGUCCUGGAAUUUGCUAUGUAGACCAGGCUGGGAUUAGGCUCUCUCU